CCAAAUAUUUCAAAUCAGGUAUAUACAGAAAGAAUUUUGAGUCUAGCUUCGAAUAAAUCAUACUUUGUAUGUAUCUGAGUUCACAGCAGAAAGUUAUAAGUAGUUAAGCAACAAGAGGUCAGAAAUUUCAGUCUCUAUUUUGCAGAAUUUGUAGGGUUAAUUGAAACAGAAGUCUUAGUAGGCAUUUAAACUCCAAAUCAUUCAAUCUCAGUGUCAAAAUAAA
rnacentral:lncRNA from 1 species